rnacentral:rRNA from 1 species
UACGUGGGGGGCAAGCGUUGUCCGGAUUUAUUGGGCGUAAAGAGCGUGUAGGCGGUUUGGUAGGUCCGCUGUGAAAGCUCGAGGCUCAACCUCGAGACGCCGGUGGAAACCAUCAGACUAGAGUCCGGAAGAGGAGAGUGGAAUUCCUGGUGUAGCGGUGAAAUGCGCAGAUAUCGGGAAGAACACCCGUGGCGAAGGCGGCACUCUGGGACGGUACUGACGCUGAGACGCGAAAGCGUGGGGAGCGAACAGG